CAUGCAAGUCGUACGGAAAGUAUUUGAAUUUAUUCGUUUACUUUUAGUGGCGGACGGGUGAGUAACACGUGAGAAUCUGCCUUUAGGAGGGGGACAACAAAUCGAAAGAUCUGCUAAUACCCCAUAUGUCAUUAGAUGAAAUGAAUUUAUUCGCCUAAAGAGGAGCUCGCGGCUGAUUAGCUAGUUGGUAAGGUAAUGGCUUACCAAGGCGACGAUCAGUAACUGGUUUGAGAGGAUGAUCAGUCACACUGGAACUGAGACACGGUCCAGACUCCUACGGGAGGCAGCAGUGGGGAAUUUUCCGCAAUGGGCGAAAGCCUGACGGAGCAAUACCGCGUGAGGGAUGAAGGCUUACUGAGUUGUAAACCUCUUUUUUCAAGGAAGAAGUUCUGACGUUACUUGAAGAAUAAGCAUCGGCUAACUCCGUGCCAGCAGCCGCGGUAAGACGGAGGAUGCAAGUGUUAUCCGGAAUCACUGGGCGUAAAGCGUCUGCAGGUGGUUUUUUAAGUCUGAUGUUAAAACUUGAGGCUCAACCUCAAUCCAGCAUUGGAAACUGAAAGACUAGAGUAUAGUAGGGAUAGAGGGAAUUUCCAGUGGAGC
rnacentral:rRNA from 1 species